AGGGGAAGAAGCCCAAUACAAACACAAAUGAGAGAGGGAAGGAGAUACGUGUUCACCAUCAGUUCAAAAGUUCAUGUGUUCAUGUUCAUUCAAGAUUCUCACCCUGCCUCCACCUGAGAAACAAACUCCGUCGCGCCGGAAUUCGCCACUGGCGGCGGUGGAGACCUAAAUCACAUAAAUUCAACACAUAAUCCCUUCGUCCCAACAUCCUACAUCUCAAUCCAAUCCCAAUUACACUCAAUUUCUAACCAAAAUGCCUAACUAAAAUGAAUCAAGCAUGAACCCUAGCUUCGAAAAUCAUAAAUUAAAUCCUUAAAUGGAGGAAUCAAGGCCCCUAGUGUUAGAGAUUUGAUUCCUCAUCUCUCUCCCUACAUGAUGGUAACGAGAACUAUGACUAAAGUUGAAGAACCAAGACCUACAUGCAGGAAAGGAGUGGUUUCUGAGUGCGAGCUGAAAUUCGAAGAUGCAGAUGGAGAUGAAUGCAGGCUGGUCUUGGAUCAUGCUUCAACAUACUAUAGUGAAACUUGGAUAACAAGGCAUGGCUUGGAGAAACAUGGGUAGCUUGCAAACAAGGGAAGUUUGCCCAUGAAGUUAAAAGAGAAGAUGGAGAAUGAAGAAUCAAAGUAGACAUCAACAACUAGGGCUAGGGUUUAGAUGAGUUGACUUUGGUCAAAUGGUUGACCAGAAAGUCAACAGUUGUCCAAAGUCAAUUGUAGGUCAAAAUCAAGUUUUUUUUGUAAAUUUUUGUAUGAAUUAUUUGUAAAUGGUUAAUAAUUUCGAAUGAAAAAUAGUCCUUUAUGAUUCAAUGCAAAA